UACGGGGGGGGCAAGCGUUGUUCGGAAUUACUGGGCGUAAAGGGCUCGUAGGUGGCCAACUAAGUCAGACGUGAAAUCCCUCGGCUUAACCGGGGAACUGCGUCUGAUACUGGAUGGCUUGAGUUUGGGAGAGGGAUGCGGAAUUCCAGGUGUAGCGGUGAAAUGCGUAGAUAUCGGGAGGAACAUCGAUGGCUAAGGCAAUCACCUGGGCCUGAACUGACACUGAGACACGAAAGCGUGGGUAGCAAACAGG
rnacentral:rRNA from 1 species